GGGUUGGAAGAGACCUUUAGAACAGCUGGUUGUUAAGCCAACCGGGUGUCUGCACUAAGUUCGGCAUCAAUAUGAUGACCUCCCGGGAGCAGGGGACCACCAGGUUGCCUAAGGAUGAGUGAACUGGCCCAGAUCAGAAAGGGAGCAAGUCAGAACUCCCGCACCAACCGGUAGUGUGACUGUGCCUGGGCAAUAU
rnacentral:sRNA from 10 species